rnacentral:rRNA from 1 species
AAAUGCGAUACUUGGUGUGAAUUGCAGAAUCCCGUGAACCAUCGAGUCUUUGAACGCAAGUUGCGCCCGAAGCCACUAGGCCGAGGGCACGCCUGCCUGGGUGUCACUAA